CACGUAGGGAGCAAGCGUUGUCCGGAUUUAUUGGGCGUAAAGAGCUCGUAGGUGGUUCGGUAAGUCGGGUGUGAAAACUCUGGGCUCAACUCAGAGACGCCACCCGAUACUGCUGUGACUUGAGUCUGGUAGGGGAGUGUGGAAUUCCUAGUGUAGCGGUGAAAUGCGCAGAUAUUAGGAGGAACACCAAUAGCGAAGGCAGCUCGCUGGGACGUUACUGACACUGAGGCGCGAAAGCGUGGGGAGCGAACAGG
rnacentral:rRNA from 1 species